rnacentral:rRNA from 1 species
UACGGAGGGUGCAAGCGUUAUCCGGAUUCACUGGGUUUAAAGGGUGCGUAGGCGGGUAGGUAAGUCAGUGGUGAAAUCUUCGAGCUUAACUCGGAAACUGCCGUUGAUACUAUCUAUCUUGGAUACCGUGGAGGUGAGCGGAAUAUGUCAUGUAGCGGUGAAAUGCUUAGAUAUGACAUAGAACACCAAUUGCGAAGGCAGCUCGCUACACGAAUAUUGACUCUGAGGCACGAAAGCGUGGGGAUCAAACAGG